UGGCUCUCAAGCUCUGAAGAAGCGUGUACGAAUUCGCCAUCGAGAUCGGUUGAUAGGAAAGUGUUUGCUUCGAAAUUUUGCUUUGCUUCUGAUUCGCUUUGAAAAGACUGUGCAUCGCAAGAAUGAUGAGUACAGUAUUUAUAACUGGAGCUGAAACCGGUUACAGGGAUAGACGAAGAGGUUUAUUGAUGGCUUCAAAUGAAAUAAGUGGAGGAAUAAUGUGGAGAACGAAGUUAAGAACGCAUUUAUGGAAAUCUGAGGCGUUAUGUAUAUCGGAACGGCGAUCUGAGCCUAACUGUGGCUUCGUCGGUGUGUUCGAGCCGCGUGAAGAAAACGGGAGAAAAC
rnacentral:lncRNA from 1 species